CUGUUUUUUAAAGUCGGGCAAGCCUGUGUCUCCGUGUUCUGCCCUGGAUAUAGGAGUAAAGUCAAAGGUCACAACUAGCCAGCCGGGAGUGGGUCAGGAUGGCACGGCUGGCUGUGGUGGUGGUGGUGGUGGUGGUGUUGGCAGCAGCAGCGGCGGGAAGGCCAGACUACACGCUGUCCCACAAAUUUACUGAAAUUUUGCAGAGGAGCGGCUCAUCACCAAUUCUGGGUGGCGAGACUACAGCGGGAACCAAAACUACAUCUACGACACCACCGAGAUGAGAGAAAACGGUGUGAACGCUCGACGGCAGGUCAACACCACACAACACCAGCACAACCAGCACCACCAGAGCACCAGGCCCGUCACUAGCACCACCAUCCGACCCCAGGCACCACCGAACGGCCACCACCACCACAACAAUCACUAAAGUCAACACCAGAUUGAUUCCAGGUCCCUGCAGAGGCCGAGAGGUGCACCACCACAGCGGGCCGAGCAGAGGUCAACUUACUCACUUCCUUUUUCUCUCUUGAUCUUAUUUUCAGGGUUUUUCAGUCUUUCUAUUGCUCUCUCUCUCUCUCUCUCUCUCUCUCUCUCUCUCUCUCUCUCUCUCUAGAAUUUUAAGUGCAAUAUGUAUAAACACGAAGAUACAUAAUUAUAUAAAUUGGUCUAUUAUUACAAUUAUUAUUAUUAUUAUUAUUAUUAUUAUUAUUAUUAUUAUUAUUAUUAUUAUUAUUAU
rnacentral:lncRNA from 1 species